AACGUAGGUUCCGAGCGUUAUCCGGAUUUACUGGGCGUAAAGAGCGCGCAGGCGGUCGUUCAAGUCGCGUGUGAAAGCCCCCGGCUCAACUGGGGAGGGUCACGCGAUACUGAUCGACUCGAAGGCAGGAGAGGGUAGUGGAAUUCCCGGUGUAGUGGUGAAAUGCGUAGAUAUCAGUCGGAACACCGGUGGCGAAGGCGGCUUCUUGGGCCUUUACUGACGCUGAGGCGCGAAAGCCAGGGGAGCGAACGGG
rnacentral:rRNA from 1 species